AUGGCAGAACGGAGCCUAAACCCACUGAGGAUGGAUCCUAAAUCCCCUGGGAUGGAGCCAAAGCACCCAAAUCCUNCACCACAGGAGGCUACAAGUGCCACCAGGUCCUUGACACCUCCCCUGUCCCCUCCCCAGCUGUCCCCAGCCCUGCUGCAGCCACAGGUCACCGUGGUGGCCACCCUGGGCGAGCUGCUGGCCACCCUGCCAACGCAGAAGGAGGAGACGCUGCUCGAGUCCUCAAAGUGCCUGUACAGGGACCUGGAGGAAUUCACCAAGGAGCUCUGGGCCACCCUUCACCGCCUUAAUGACACCUGGAGGUUCAACAAAGCCACCGAUUAUGAUGAUGGCGGCCCUGUCACCUCCCUGAGCUGGGCCCUGGCCGCCUACAGGAGGACCCCACGGACCAGUCAGGACAAUGUGACAAUGGCAGCCAGCAAGAGGCAGGGGUCGGUGUCUGUGCUUAUGAACAGCUGGGCUGAGCUGACCAGGAAGGCCACAGAGCUCUGCAAUGCCUGCAGGAUGGCGGUCACUGAGGCAGCCACCGUCCAGGCCAGGGAGCUGCAGGACGAGGCUCCCCGUUAUGGGACAGCUCAGGAACACAUGAUGGAGGUGGGUCAGGCCCUGGGCAGUGAGGAGGGGGCCGAGGUGGCAGCCGGGCCUGAAUCUCUGUUGAGGACAGAGACAAGGGUGGCUGCCAGCGAGGCAGCAACGGUGGCCAUGGAAACACAGCAGCUGGAGGCGGCCCUGGGGCUGCUGGAGCGCUUGGUGGCCACGUGUGACGAAGCCACCGCGUUCCCCCGGGAGCUGCAGCGCCUGCUCAGGGACACCGACACCGUCCUAGAAGGGACAAAGAAGAAGUUCGCCGAUGUCCCUGAGGACUUGGUGGCCAAGGUGGCCGAGGUCGAUCGGCUGUGGGAGGCCAACGCCCGCCUGGCCAAGGAUCACCUGCUGGGGACACUUGACGACUUCAUCGACUUGUAUUUUCAUGGUGGUCCUGCCAGCGCCAGUGCCUGUGGGGUGGCCGAGAGGUGCCAAAGAGCCAUUGAGGACAUCCCAAGGCUCCUUCAACGUCCAGAACAUGCCCAGCGCAUCCCCAAGGUGUUCCCAAUGACCAUGGAUCUCUAUGAGGUGUGA
rnacentral:lncRNA from 1 species